UACAGAGGGUGCAAGCGUUAAUCGGAGUUACUGGGCGUAAAGGGCGUGUAGGCUGAUAUUUAAGUCGAUUGUGAAAUCCCUGGGCUUAACCUAGGAAUUGCAUUCGAUACUGGAUGUCUUGAGUAUGGUAGAGGAAAGUAGAAUUCUCGGUGUAGUGGUUAAAUACGUAGAUAUCGAGAGGAAUACCGGUGGCGAAGGCGACUUUCUGGGCCAAUACUGACGCUGAGGCGCGAAAGCGUGGGGAGCAAACAGG
rnacentral:rRNA from 1 species